UNCAGCCAUCCCGCGUGUGCGAUGNNNNNNUUCGGGUUGUAAAGCACUUUUGGCAGNNNAGAAAAGUUUCGGNNNNNNNCNCUGGAGCGAUGACGGUACCUGCAGAAUAAGCACCGGCUAACUACGUGCCAGCAGCCGCNNNNNNNCGUAGGGUGCAAGCGUUAAUCGGAAUUACUGGGCGUAAAGCGUGCGCAGGCGGUUCGGAAAGAAAGAUGUGAAAUCCCAGGGCUUAACCUUGGAACUGCAUUUUUAACUGUCGAACUCGAGUAUGUCAGAGGGGGGUAGAAUUCCACGUGUAGCAGUGAAAUGCGUAGAGAUGUGGAGGAAUACCGAUGGCGAAGGCAGCCCCCUGGGAUAAUACUGACGCUCAUGCACGAAAGCGUGGGGAGCAAACAGGAUUAGAUACCCUGGUAGUCCACGCCCUAAACGAUGUCAACUAGCUGUUGGGGCCUUCGGGCCUUAGUAGCGCAGCUAACGCGUGAAGUUGACCGCCUGGGGAGUACGGUCGCAAGAUUAAAACUCAAAGGAAUUGACGG
rnacentral:rRNA from 1 species